GAGUUUGAUCAUGGCUCAGAUUGAACGCUGGCGGCAGGCUUAACACAUGCAAGUCGAACGGUAGCAGGAGAAAGCUUGCUUUCUUGCUGACGAGUGGCGGACGGGUGAGUAAUGCUUGGGAAUCUGGCUUAUGGAGGGGGAUAACUACGGGAAACUGUAGCUAAUACCGCGUAGAAUCGGAAGAUGAAAGUGCGGGACCGCAAGGCCGCAUGCCAUGAGAUGAGCCCAAGUGGGAUUAGGUAGUUGGUGGGGUAAAGGCCUACCAAGCCUGCGAUCUCUAGCUGGUCUGAGAGGAUGGCCAGCCACACUGGAACUGAGACACGGUCCAGACUCCUACGGGAGGCAGCAGUGGGGAAUAUUGCGCAAUGGGGGGAACCCUGACGCAGCCAUGCCGCGUGAAUGAAGAAGGCCUUCGGGUUGUAAAGUUCUUUCGGUAUUGAGGAAGGGAUGUGUGCUAAUAGUACAUAUCAUUGACGUUAAAUACAGAAGAAGCACCGGCUAACUCCGUGCCAGCAGCCGCGGUAAUACGGAGGGUGCGAGCGUUAAUCGGAAUAACUGGGCGUAAAGGGCACGCAGGCGGUUAUUUAAGUGAGGUGUGAAAGCCCCGGGCUUAACCUGGGAAUUGCAUUUCAGACUGGGUAACUAGAGUACUUUAGGGAGGGGUAGAAUUCCACGUGUAGCGGUGAAAUGCGUAGAGAUGUGGAGGAAUACCGAAGGCGAAGGCAGCCCCUUGGGAAUGUACUGACGCUCAUGUGCGAAAGCGUGGGGAGCAAAACAGGAUUAGAUACCCUGGUAGUCCACGCUGUAAACGCUGUCGAUUUGGGGAUUGGGCUUAGAGCUUGGUGCCCGUAGCUAACGUGAUAAAUCGACCGCCUGGGGAGUACGGCCGCAAGGUUAAAAACUCAAAAUGAAUUGACGGGGGCCCGCACAAGCGGUGGAGCAUGUGGUUUAAUUCGAUGCAAACGCGAAGAACCUUACCUACUCUUGACAUCCAUGGAAUCCUGUAGAGAUACGGGAGUGCCUUCGGGAACCAUGAGACAGGUGCUGCAUGGCUGUCGUCAGCUCGUGUUGUGAAAAUGUUGGGUUAAGUCCCGCAACGAGCGCAACCCUUAUCCUUUGUUGCCAGCGAUUUGGUCGGGAAACUCAAAGGAGACUGCCAGUGAUAAACUGGAGGAAAGGUGGGGAUGACGUCAAGUCAUCAUGGCCCUUACGAGUAGGGCUACACGACGUGCUACGAAUGGCGUAUACAGAGGGUGAGGAAAAUUGCGAGAAUGGAGCGAAUUCUCAGAAAAGGACGUCGAGCCCCGGAUUGGAGUCUGCGAACUCGAACUCCGUGAAGCCGGAAUCGGCGGUGAUCGCGAAUCGGAAUGUCGCGGUGAA
rnacentral:rRNA from 1 species